rnacentral:tRNA from 1 species
GCCACCUUAGCUCAGUCGGUAGAGCAGCUCCCUCGUAAAGAGCAGGUCGCCAGUUCGAUUCUGGCAGGUGGCUCCA